rnacentral:rRNA from 1 species
UUCCGUAGGUGAACCUGCGGAAGGAUCAUUAUUGAAUUU